UACAGAGGUCCCGAGCGUUGUUCGGAUUCACUGGGCGUAAAGGGUGCGCAGGUGGUUUGGCAAGUUUGAUGUGAAAGCCCCGGGCUUAACCCGGGAAUGGCAUUGAAUACUGCUUGAACUGGAGGGUUGGAGGGGGGACUGGAAUUCUUGGUGUAGCAGUGAAAUGCGUAGAUAUCAAGAGGAACACCAGUGGCGAAGGCGAGUCCCUGGACAAACCCUGACACUGAGGCACGAAAGCCAGGGGAGCAAACGGG
rnacentral:rRNA from 1 species